UACGUAGGGGGCUAGCGUUGUCCGGAAUCAUUGGGCGUAAAGCGCGUGUAGGCGGUUCGGUAAGUCCGCUGUGAAAGUCGGGGGCUCAACCCUCGGAUGCCGGUGGAUACUGUCGGACUAGAGUGCGGAAGAGGCGAGUGGAAUUCCUGGUGUAGCGGUGAAAUGCGCAGAUAUCAGGAGGAACACCAAUUGCGAAGGCAGCUCGCUGGGACGUUACUGACGCUGAGACGCGAAAGCCAGGGGAGCAAACGGG
rnacentral:rRNA from 1 species